UGGAGUGAUGCAAAUUAGCCAAAUCUUAUGAUGAUUGUGCUCCUUCAGGCUUCCCAUCUGUACCAUUGCUUUUGUGCGAAAUGUUUAUUUUCGACAUCUUCUUGACAUAUAUUAUUACUAUUAUUAUGCACAUGAAGGGAAAGCCUUUAGUUGAAGCACGCAUCGCUGGUGAUAAAAAUCGGGAUUGGUUGUUGCUGACCAGGGAUGUCAAAUUCAAUUCCUUCAGGCUCCGUUUGGAUCGGGAAUUAGUAGGAACUAGUUAUACCGGGGACAGGUACAGGUAUGAGUUUUUAUAGGAAUAAGGGUAUUUUUUUGUUUGGAUGAAAUUGUGAGUAUAAGCUGGAACUAGAAAAAUUAUGUUUGGAUGGUUUUUGGAAAUAAGAGGAAUAGUUGGUAGUUAUAAAUAGAAAAUAAUAAUAUUAUCCCUAUAAUUGAAUUUUAAACUUAUAAUUUUAAAUUUUAACUUUUANCCCUAUAGGGAGGAAAUAUGGGUUUGUUUUUUUUUUACUACCCUUGUUCACAAGGGUGGUAUUGCCCAACAUAGACCAUAGACCAUGUUGGGCAAUACCCCUUAUCCCCCUUUUAUACCCGAGCCAAACGGAGUGUCAGUGAUAGUUACCUUUAUGAAAAUUGAGUUUUUCUUUCGGGCAUUUCGUAUUGUAUUAUCAUUGCUCUUUCAAAGCAUUUUGUUUUAACUAUUAAACGUCAUCUAGAUGUCUAGUUAAAGAUAUCAGUGUAAUUGUAGUAGCACCACAAUAUACUUCAUAGAUUUUUUGAACUUUUUAUACACUAUAUAUAUAUUUUUUUCAAAGGCAACUCUCAACCC
rnacentral:lncRNA from 1 species